AGUAGGUAUAUUACCUGACAGUAAUUAUAUAAAAUUUAUAUAAAGCUCUUUGUUAAUACAGAUAAGAUAUGGGUUAUCAUAUUAUGUUUGACAUGCUAUUACUUUCAUUUAUCUGUUUGCUUAAUUAUCUUAUUAACGAUUCAUUUUUUUUUUUUCGUUUAUUUUAAAUAUAUUUUCUAGUUGGUAUUUUUUCUAAAUAAUCGAUAAGCUGUCGUAUUCGAAAUAUCGAAAGCCGAUAAAACUAGGCUACCUAGGCAACGAUGCCACCCUGUGCAAAAUCCAAACAAACGGUUAUUUUCAUUUAUUGUCAAACCUAUAUAAGUCGAAAUGGAGCCAGAAGCAAAUUCAAUAAAAACUAAGCGCAGCAAGAAAAAAAUGAAAACACAAACAACACGUGCAUAUCGCAAGUCUGAAAGGGAAGUUCAACAGUUGCUGUGGCAAAGUGAAAAGGUCGCCGCACAACAAACAGUAGAUGAGGAUUUGGAAGCCCGCAGUUUGCAGUUUUUUCACUAUGCCAAAGCGACCGAUUCUGUGGGUGCCACAACUGGCAAAACGGAAUUUUCAAAUGAUGACACACCUGCACAAUACACUGCGGCCAGCUUCUUACAAAUUGAACUCGCUGAACCACCCCUUGUGUCCGGUAAGCUGCAGCGACAGCGCCAUUAUUAUGACUCCACUUUGUUGUAUUCGCCCAGUGAGCGGCUGCAUUUGCCACUGCAGCUAAGUGAAUGCGAGCCCCAACUGAAGCCCCAGCAGAUACGCAUGCUGAAUCGGUUUCAGGAGGAGGCCAGAUAUAGUAAAACGACCGCCAAACUAAGUGCCGGAAUUAUUGCGCAGCUUUCAGACUGUGAACCGGGCCGUUACACCAUCGAUACCACGCUCUACCACAGCAAUUGCUCGAGGCAGUUUAAAGGCGUCUUCCUGGCACCUGUGCCGUUGGCUACCUUCCACGGACUGCCCAUGAGUCGUUGCCUGAAGCUGUGCCUGAAACAGUUGCGCUUCAGCGAACAUCCACAGCUGCUGGAGGAGCAUCGGCUGGCGCAGCAACUGGAGGAUCUCUACGAUCUCUACGCAUACAAUGUGAACAGUCAGAUUUGCAAUAAGCUGCGCGAAGAGUUACAAAUCGCUCGCAAUGUGGCUGCCCGCCUAAUCGAUGCCAGCAAGCAGCAGCAGCACCUGAAGGAGCAGCAGCCAUCGCUGCUAGCGGUGCACGUUCAGCGGCAAUUGCAAUUGACGCAGCAGCUGCGCAGACGCUACUAUGCCGAGUCCAGGGCGCAGCGUGUGCUGCUGCAGCGUCUGCUCGCCGAAUGGGCCAAAUUGAAGGAGCUGCGCAAGCGACAACAGUUUCGCUGCACACGCUUCAGCCUGAGCCUGCGGCUGGUGCCGCCUGCUGAUCUGGACGUCUCCUGCUCGGCGUGGAAACAGCGUUUCGAGACAGAUCUGGCCGAGGUGUAUCGCGAGCAUCUGGAGCUGUACUAUCAGCAGCGGCGCAUUUGGAAUGACAGCGAGCAGUCGACAGCGGCGCAUACGAAACCGCCGCGUAAGCCUCGAUUUACGGAAAUCAUGGAGUCCCUAAGGGCAGAGUAUGAGCGAGCCUUUCAGGAUCCAGAGGAGCCGGAAGUUUUUGUGCAGCGUCUGCCAGCGGAUGAAACAAUGCCCAAUGAUCCCAAGGCGACGGCAGCAGCAGCAGCAGCAGUAAACGGUAAUCAGUUGAGCUUGGAUCGCAACUACUACCUGAAGAUCUACCUGGACAGCCAGUUUGUGGCACAGUCGCGCACAUAUCGCCUGGAACAGGAUCUGCAUGUGGACAUGAAUGAGACAAUAGGCGUGCUGCUAAAUCGCUCCAAUCCAAAAGAGCUCAAUAUUUGGCUGUAUGAGAAAUCGACAAUAACUGCGCACAGUCGCCGAUUGGCACUGAUAAAUACUCCGUUGCAAGCGACUCAAAGGGGGCGAUCGGAGGAGAAACUGAGCUUCGAGGUGACAUCAUCGCGGACAUCAUCAUCGGCAACGCGCCCGAAAUUGGCCGGCGAUCUCUAUGUGCACAUUGAUUACUAUUGUCCUGAUGGCGGCAGCAGCAGCAAUGAGCUGGACGAUGUGCAGCCGCUGCCGCCGGCACUGAGGCAAACGUUGCUGGCGAAAAGUUUGUCCGCGUCUGCGGCCGGAGGCAGCGAUGCAGGGACACGGCAUGCGCCGCUCAUCUUUGCCGAGCAGCAGUUGCUGUUGUGCAGCAUCGAGGAACUGUUCCAGAACAGGCGAUUUCAGCUGCUCUAUUCGCGCCAUCAGCAGCGCAAUUUUCACACCAAACAGCUGAGUUUUGUGCCUGCUUUGGCGCAUGAAAUCGUUGAGCUGGAGGAGCACGGACCCAAUGCGAAUGUUGGCCAAUUGCUAGAUCCGGGCACCAUUUGGCAUCCAAUCGAUCUGCACAAGCAUCGAGGCCGCAAGUUUCUUCACCUGCUAUACGAGACCAUAAUGAACCAGUGCGCACAACGGGCCAAGCUGCUUCAAACACCAUUGCCGCUGCUCCAGCUGUGGAGCGAUGGCUCCCCCACAGAGCAUACAAUGGGCUGGUCAACAGUUUGGCGUGCACUCUGCUCCAUUUUUGUUCGCCAAGCGGCCAACAGUCCCAGCCGUGAGCCGCCCCUGUGGCAGCCCCAGCCGACGUGUGCCCCGAAUCAACAGCUGCAACAGUUCACUGUCUCGUUGCAUGUAGUGCGUGCCACGGGUGUGCCAGUGCGCAGUCGCCACAUCCUCAACGUGGAGCACCAGGGACGACGACGGAACAGCGCCGGCACAAACAGCGAUCUAAGCGCCAGUCUGUUCGUUACCCAGACGCUGAUGUACUCCAAUGUGCGUCCAUUUAUAACACUAAGCUAUGGCCAGAGACUGUGUCGCAGUCGCACCGCAGAGGGCUCGAAUCCCACAUGGAAUGAGCAUCUGCAGCUGCAGCUGACGGGUCAGCUCAGCGAUUUGCGCGAGGAUCUGAAGAUCAGCCUGUUUGACGAACUGAUCGAGCAGCAAUACACGGACGAGGCAUCCGAUCUCUACCAGCGCGUGCAAUGCAACUGGCUGGGGGAAUAUCGGGUGCCCAUUAGCAGUCUCUUGGCCAGUCGCAAGUUCGAGGGAUGCAUCGAGCUGUGCAUGCCCAAGGUGCUGGUCGGCUAUAAGAGGCCGCUGAUUGAUUCGGUGACCAAUAUAUCGGUGGAGCAAUAUCCGGAGUUCAAGGAGAGUGUGCAUCUCUGGUUCUAUCUGAGCGUGGAGCCGGCUAGCCAGUUGACGCCACUGCAAAUUGGCGGCCUGGCCUGUGCCGAGCUGCCCCAAAUGCAGCAAUAUUUGCGCGAGCGCCGCCUGGAGGUGCAACCGCUACUGCCACAUCCCCAACGAUAUGUGGAGCCGUUGAUAUGCACGUCGCAUGGCAAACGCGUGUGCCUCACACGUCUGCUGGAGCCGGUGUCGCUGCCCAGCGAGUCGCAGCUGGAGCGUGUUUGUCGUUUUGUCUCCCUGCUCACUCCGGUGCGCAGUUCGCUGGAUGGGUGCCAGAGCUUUGAAGGCGUUUGGCUGAACAACCAAACGUUGCUGGAUAGCACCUGGUGUUCCGUGAAGGAUCUGGGCGUGCUGCUGUGCAAUUAUAUGCUGGCAUUGGGCCUCGAGUGCUGGCUGCUGCUGGGAUUGGCCUGUCCCUAUGGCGAGUCCACGUUCGUCAUCUACCGACAGCCGGACAGCGGCGAACUGGUCCUAGUGGCGCCCACAACUGGCAAACGCUAUCAGCUUCAGGAUGUCUUUUGUCCGCUGACACGUGUCUACUCGCUGGUGACGGCACAGAAUAUCUUUAUCAAUAUACAGGCGGAAGAGCGCGUCAGCAUGACGGAUUUCGAUGUGCAGAAUAGCGAAUGCUGGUUGCCGGUGUUCACCAAGCGGCAGCAGGCGCCCCACGGUGGCAUCCAGAAACGUAACUAUGCUUACAAGCGCAGCUAUCACCUGAGUCAGUUACAGAAGCACAUCGAGCGCAAGAUUAUGAAAAAGAUAAGCGCCUGGCGCACCACACGCAAAACAUUGUGGAAUCGUGCCUUUCAGCCACACCUGCUGCGAAUUUUGAAUGAAAUGGAAAGUUUGAGCACGCUCUCAGGCAAUCGUUACGAUGAGCCGGCCUUCAGUGAGGAGCUGGAGCGCGAGUUUCCCAACUAUAGGCUUUAUGGUUUUACCAUAAACUUUGCCUACACCAACCUGUCGGCGAUAUCGGAGCGCAUUCGCACCAGCUGCAUACACUACAACAACAAUGCGGCCGUCGAGUUCUGUGUGGCGGUGCACAUUAAUGCCUAUGCCAACGAUGUCCUAUCCGUUUGGGUGUUUCUGCUGUCAAUAGUGCCACUGGUCGCCUAAUUGAUUGACUCGACGUGAAUCAAUGCGGUGUAAAUAGCGUCAAUGUUCGGUUGUUGAUAACGAAACUCGGUGAGCCGGCUGUCUUCGUAGAUAAUGCCCACAAACGCUAAUCAAUAAAAACAAAUUCUUUAUCACUCGCUGUACGGAAAGCGGGAAAACAUACUCCUUGGCAGUUGCAUAUCUCUUAUUCUGUAUGCCUCGUAUGCGUAUGUGCCCGGCUAUUGCCUAAGGCUGGUUGGGUUUCUA